CUGUGCGUGGGCCAGUCCGGUUUAGCCACCACAUUUGGGAUGUGGAUAUCUCGUAGGUUCAAAUCCUACCGCACAGA
rnacentral:tRNA from 1 species